GCUGGGAUGGCCGAGUCGUUAAGGCGAGUGAUUUGAAUUAGCCCUUAUGCUGAGUCAAUAUCACUUGGUGUUUCACCGCGUAGGUUCAAAUCCUGCUCCCAGCG
rfam:Moniliophthora roreri MCA 2997 sctg_0042_0005, whole genome shotgun sequence.